rnacentral:tRNA from 1 species
GGGCGAUUAGCUCAGCUGGGAGAGCACCUGCCUUACAAGCAGGGGGUCACUGGUUCGAGCCCGGUAUCGCCCACCA